GAGGAAGGACUGAGGAGGGGGCUGAGGGGGGGCCCAGGGUGCACGCGGCCAUCCUGAAGGUGAGCUCGUGGCCCUGUCUCCCCAGUGAGUCACCCAGGCCAUAAACUCGCCCCGUGUCAUUUCUGGGCCCAAACACCGUUGGUUAAUAAAGUCUUGCGACACCCUGAUGUGGAAAAGCUCUGCUAUCUGGUGUGUUUAACCGUAGGAAGGUGCUCCGGUGACGCGGGCAAGGCAGGCUCCCAAGCGUGGCGUUUCCAAGAUGCAGCGCUAACAUUCUUCAUUUUGUUCUGAUGUGUCACGUUUCUCAGCUGGUCAAAUUGCUCAUCUUUAAUAAAGUUUCCAAAGAAUUCGAGAUUUGGUUUCUGCUUGGGAAUAUUGAGCAAAACUAAAAUUUGCAAUGUGUGCAAAAUGAUUCAGAAGGCCUUGCUGAAAAGCUGGGGCAUGUAGAUUUCCAUCUCUGCUUUUUUUCAAUGAAGAGCUCGUUUCUUGUAGUCCCCAUCCGUCCCUGCUUUCCCCACCAACACUGCCUUGGCUCCUUGGAUGGAUGGUGGAAUGGGAAAAUGCUGAGUAAGCAGUAAAGAACUUGCUGCUGGUAUCAAGCUGGGUUCACCUCUUUUAUUCAAACACGGGUAUUUGAACAGGAAAUCUUAAAAGUAUGGGGAAAUUCAGCUGUGUUUCCAUGUUUUCUCCAGAGUGCAGGGAGCCCUGUUUCUUCAUUCCCCUCCACUCUUAUUGCACCUCCAUCUCUGCACCGAGACCCAGCAGCUUCGCGGGCAGAGGCAGGUGGGACAAAGCCGCGGAGGUUCAGCCCUGGCUCCGUAGUCCCGUACUCUCUGUGAGCCCAAUAGACCAGCUGAGGUGUAUCUGUUGCUGCCAGGGCCACCCAGCUAAAAACCCCGGCUUUCAGGCUGUCCUGCACUGCGCCGUGCUCUGCCAGCAAGGAAGCGAAGGAAUCCCCGCCGGGGCUGCGCACACCGAGCCGAGGAGCUUCAAGCCGACAGCCUGAGCUAAUAUUAGAAGAGGUCGCUUGGUGUUACAGAGCACUUGCUGGUGCAGAGGCUCUGGGGCGGAGGAAAAGGGCGAUGUAUGGCUGCACAGGGAUCCGCCUGCACGGGCAUGGGAUUCCUGCGAAGGGAAGCGUGGGACCUCGCAGCUUUGUGCACUUGUGACAAUCAAUAAACGAGGGGGCUACGAGACAUGCCUGCCUGCUCUGGAA